GUGCCUACGGGACGCAGCAGUCGGGAAUAUUGCGCAAUGGAGGAAACUCUGACGCAGUGACGCCGCGUAUAGGAAGAAGGUUUUCGGAUUGUAAACUAUUGUCGUUAGGGAAGAUAAAAGACUGUACCUAAGGAGGAAGCCCCGGCUAACUAUGUGCCAGCAGCCGCGGUAAUACAUAGGGGGCAAGCGUUAUCCGGAUUUAUUGGGUUUAAAGGGUGCGUAGGCGGAAGGUUAAGUCAGCGGUCAAAUGUCGGUGCUCAACACCGGCCUGCCGUUGAAACUGGUCUUCUUGAGUGAGCGAGAAG
rnacentral:rRNA from 1 species